rnacentral:rRNA from 1 species
AACGGAUCUCUUGGUUCUGGCAUCGAUGAAGAACGCAGCGAAAUGCGAUAAGUAAUGUGAAUUGCAGAAUUCAGUGAAUCAUCGAAUCUUUGAACGCACAUUGCGCCCUUUGGUAUUCCGAAGGGCAUGCCUGUUCGAGCGUCAUUU